AUACGUAGGGUGCAAGCGUUAAUCGGAAUUACUGGGCGUAAAGCGUGCGCAGGCGGUUUUGUAAGACAGAGGUGAAAUUCCCGGGCUCAACCUGGGAACUGUCUUUGUAUCUGCAAGGCUAGAGUAAGGGCGAGGGGGAUGGAAUUCCGCGGGUAUGAGUGAAAAUCGUAGAUAUGCGGAGGAACACCGAUGGCGAAGGCAAUCCCCUGGGCCUGUACUGACGCUCAUGCACGAAAGCGUGGGGAGCAAACAGGAUUAGAUACCCUGGUAGUCCACGCCCUAAACGAUGUCAACUGGUUGUUGGGUCUUCAUUGACUCAGUAACGAAGCUAACGCGUGAAGUUGACCGCCUGGGGAGUACGGCCGCAAGGUUGAAACUCAAAUGAAUUGACGGGG
rnacentral:rRNA from 1 species